rnacentral:rRNA from 1 species
AUGCUGCUGAACCAGAUUGCUAAUUCCAUGCGGACAGAAGGUGGAGACCUCACAACGGGAAAUGAGAUGGUGCUUGCACAGUCAAUCCCGGUGGAUCCGCUGGACCUCGAUAGCACGCACAGGGGUAUGACCCAGCAGGAAGGGGUGGCAUACGAGAAGCUCCGGGCAUUUUGCGCCAAUAUCAUGAAGAAACUAGCGCCACCUCUGCUGCGUGAGGUUCAGGCCUCAUCACUCCGCCCGGAUGCAGAGCCAUUCACGCCCAAGCGAACCACAAGGGCAUCCAAGCACAGCGUGGGUACGAGUGCGGUGAAGCCGAAGCCGACGGAGAAUGUGCUUUUACGCACUCUUGGCUUAGUGCCAGACGACAUGGUAGCGGACGAGGAUGCAGUGAGUGAGCUACAGCAGCUGUCCGACUUGCCGCUGAGGGAGCAACACGUGCGCAUCAUUGCAGCGCUGUUCGGCAAGACAGUGCCAUCGGCAGACGCCUUGACCCACAGCACAGAUGUGACAGUUUCAGUUCGGUGA